rnacentral:rRNA from 1 species
AGGAUGAACGCUAGCGGCAGGCCUAACACAUGCAAGUCGAGGGGUAGAGGGUGCUUGCACCCUUGAGACCGGCGCACGGGUGCGUAACGCGUAUGCAACCUACCUAUUGCAGGGGAAUAGGCCCAGGGAAACUUGGAUUAAUGCCCCAUAGUCCAUAUUGAGAGCAUUUAGAUAUAUGGUAAAGAUUUAUCGGCAAUAGAUGGGCAUGCGUCCCAUUAGCUAGUUGGUGUGGUAACGGCACACCAAGGCUACGAGUGGGUAGGGCCCUGAGAGGGGGACUCCCCCGACGACUGGUACCUGGACGACCGACGGACCAGACCUACCGUACGGGAGCAGCGAGGUGGAGAAUAUUGGACAAGUGGGACGAGUACGACCGUGAC